GGAGUUAGCCGGUGCUUCUUCUGUGAGUGAUGUCCUUCCUGCCGGUUAUUGACCCGCAGGCCUUCUUCCUCACUGAAAGUGCUUUACAACCCGAAGGCCUUCUUCACACACGCGGCAUGGCUGGAUCAGGGUUGCCCCCAUUGUCCAAUAUUCCCCACUGCUUCCUCCCGUAGGAGUCUGGGCCGUGUCUCAGUCCCAGUGUGGCUGAUCAUCCUCUCAGACCAGCUACGGAUCGUCGCCUUGGUGAGCCGUUACCUCACCAACCAGCUAAUCCGACAUAGGCUCAUCCGAUAGCGCGAGGCCCGAAGGUCCCCCGCUUUCCCCCGUAGGGCGUAUGCGGUAUUAGCCUGGGUUUCCCCAGGUUAUCCCCCACUACCGGGCAGAUUCCUAUGCAUUACUCACCCGUCCGCCGCUCGCCACCAGGGAGCAAGCUCCCCGUGCUGCCGCUCGACUUGCAUGUGUUAGGCCUGCCGCCAGCGUUCAAUCUGAGCCAUAAUCAAACUCUGA
rnacentral:rRNA from 1 species